rnacentral:rRNA from 1 species
UAAUACGGAGGAUCCAAGCGUUAUCCGGAUUUAUUGGGUUUAAAGGGUGCGCAGGCGGAAGAUUAAGUCGGCGGUGAAAUUUUGCAGCUCAACUGUAAAAGUGCCAUCGAUACUGGUUUUCUUGAGUGUGGAUGAAGUAGGCGGAAUUUGUGGUGUAGCGGUGAAAUGCAUAGAUAUCACGAGGAACUCCGAUUGCGCAGGCAGCUUACUAGGCCAUAACUGACGCUCAGGCACGAAGGCGUGGGGAUCAAACAGGAUUAGAUACCCUGGUAGUCCACGCAGUAAACGAUGAUUACUCGCUGUUUGCGAUACACAGUAAGCGGCUUAGCGAAAGCGUUAAGUAAUCCACCUGGGGAGUACGUUCGCAAGAAUGAAACUCAAAGGAAUUGACGGGGGCCCGCACAAGCGGAGGAACAUGUGGUUUAAUUCGAUGAUACGCGAGGAACCUUACCCGGGCUUGAAAUGCAUCUGACAGGAGCAGAGACGCUCUCUCCCUUCGGGGCAGAUGUGUAGGUGCUGCAUGGUUGUCGUCAGCUCGUGCCGUGAGGUGUCGGCUUAAGUGUCAUAACGAGCGCAACCCUCAUCAUUAGUUACCAUCAGGUUAAGCUGGGGACUCUAAUGAGACUGCCAUCGUAAGAUGUGAGGAAGGUGGGGAUGACGUCAAAUCAGCACGGCCCUUACGUCCGGGGCGACACACGUGUUACAAUGGAUGGUACAAAGGGCAGCUACAUGGCGACAUGAUGCUAAUCUCCAAAACCAUUCUCAGUUCGGAUCGAAGUCUGCAACUCGACUUCGUGAAGCUGGAUUCGCUAGUAAUCGCGCAUCAGCCACGGCGCGGUGAAUACGUUCCCGGGCCUUGUACACACCGCCCGUCAAGCCAUGGAAGCCGGGGGUACCUGAAGUUCGUAACCGUCAAAGGAGCGACCUAGGGUAAAACUGGUGACUGGGGCU